rnacentral:rRNA from 1 species
CCUACGGGGGGCUGUAGUGAGGAAUAUUGGUCAAUGGACGAGAGUCUGAACCAGCCAAGUAGCGUGAAGGAUGACUGCCCUAUGGGUUGUAAACUUCUUUUAUAAAGGAAUAAAACGAGGCACGUGUGCCUUUUUGCAUGUACUUUAUGAAUAAGGAUCGGCUAACUCCGUGCCAGCAGCCGCGGUAAUACGGAGGAUCCGAGCGUUAUCCGGAUUUAUUGGGUUUAAAGGGAGCGUAGAUGGGUUGUUAAGUCAGUUGGGAAAGUUUUCGGCUCAACCGUAAAAUUGCAAUUGAUACUGGCAGUCUUGAGUACAGUUGAGGUAGGCGGAAUUCGUGGUGUAGCGGUGAAAUGCUUAGAUAUAACGAAGAACCCCGAUUGCGAAGGCAGCUUACUAAACUGUGACUGACAUUGAUGCUCGAAAGUGUGGGUAUCAAACAGGAUUAGAUACCCGGGUAGUC